GGCAGCGGCCGUGGUGUGCGGACCUUCCUCGUCUAGCAGAUAAAAACAUCGACCCUGUUUCUGUUUACACUCAACAACGGCGACGCCCUCUCACCGUUUUUCCACCGUAUAAUAACAGUACUAACUCGAUACUGCCCAUACAAGAACAAACAAGAACAAUCAAACAAGAAACAAACAAGCUGUGAAAAGUGUUAGUGUACAAACAAGUGCCAAAAAAAAAAUAUCACAGGGGAAGAAGAUAAAGAAAACGGAGGAACUUAAAAUUUUCAUGGGAAACUUUAGAAAAUCUUUGCCUAUCUGACCCCCUUGUGACCUAGUGGUGACCCCGUGUGACUCUCUGGUGACCUCUUCUGUGGCCUCUGACCUUCAGCUCUUCAUGUGACCUCUUCAGUGACCCGUGUUGUGUCUUAAGGAGGUCAACUGUGUCCUGGGUCACUAGUUUGUACAGUGUACAAGAGUAGUGGGUAACUUCACAAGAACACGCCCGCACGCCCACUGUGUUCAGGAGCCUCUGUUCUUCUCCUGAGGUGGACGUCCUCGACUUUCACCUCCUCCACGCCCACACACACACCACCGCCCACACCCACGCCCACAUCAACGUUAUUACGACAGCUCCUAAGCCUUCCAUUGGGCCACUGUGAAUCUGCCAAAGCCACCCACUAGGCCAACAUCAACCCGCCCACACCACCCACUGGGCCAACGUCAACCAGCCCACACCCACCCACUGG